rnacentral:rRNA from 1 species
CUGCUGCCUCCCGUAGGAGUUUGGGCCGUGUCUCAGUCCCAAUGUGGCCGGUCGCCCUCUCAGGCCGGCUACUGAUCGUUGCCUUGGUGAGCCGUUACCUCACCAACAAGCUAAUCAGACGCGGGUCCAUCCUAUACCACCUCAGUUUUUCACACCGAACCAUGCGGUUUUAGUGCGCUUAUGCGGUAUUAGCAGUCAUUUCUAACUGUUAUCCCCCUGUAUAGGGCAGGUUACCCACGCGUUACUCACCCGUCCGCCA